rnacentral:lncRNA from 1 species
GAUCCCGUCGCUGAGCAGCUGCAUCCCGCCUCUCUGGCCUGGAACCCGCAGUCCUGGUCCCGCCGCGCCCUGCCCACCCUCAUCGCGGCCCCUCUCCCGCCCCGCCCGGGCUGGAAGCUGACCCCACCCGGGAGAGGUUCCUGUGGCGACUCUGCUGCAGUGGCGGGUGUUCCGAAGUCUAAGACUGAUCGGGUUUUUGCUUCGGGGGCGAUAAGCCAUCCUUGGAUUGUGUUUAUUUGGUAUGACUGCAAGGACAAGGUUGCCCUCCCGCCUUCCGCGCUCACUGACACCUAAGCCCUUAAAUGACCCCUGCGGUAGGUAGAUGGGAAUGCCGCUUUCCAACCUCAGCCCUGGUACCACCUCGGACAGACAAACACCAGGUGGUGGAGAGUACAUAAGAUACAUUUGAUAUUGAAAAUAUAAAAUUUAAUAGGAACCUCCACAGCUUCUGUUCCAAAUGCCUGUUCAAACUGUAUAGAAGUUCAUGGCAUUGUAUAGACUUCAGGUCUGGUUAUUUGGGCUUUUCUUUUAGGGGAAGAAGGAUCUGUUUCAGCUCAUGAUGGAGAAGGCAAGAGGCUGGAGAUGGAGGGGCUAGGCUGCUUGCCUGAGUCUCUACGGAUCAGCAAGCAGAGCAAGAGUUCCCAUUCUGUACAGAGAAAUUGUCUUUUAAAAGUCAGCUAAAUGAAGAAAGACCACAACAUCUU